GAUGAACGCUGGCGGCGUGCUUAACACAUGCAAGUCGAACGGAAAGGCCCUGCUUUUGUGGGGUGCUCGAGUGGCGAAAGGGUGAGUAACACGUGAGUAACCUGCCCUUGACUUUGGGAUAACUUCAGGAAACUGGGGCUAAUAUCGGAUAGGAGCUCCUGCUGCAUGGUGGGGGUUGGAAAGUUUCGGCGGUUGGGGAUGGACUCGCGGCUUAUGAGCUUGUUGGUGGGGUAGUGGCUUACCAAGGCUUUGACGGGUAGCCGGCCUGGGAGGGUGACCGGCCACAUUGGGACUGAGGUACGGCCCAGACUCCAACGGGAGGCAGCAGUGGGGAGUAUUGCACAAUGGGCGGAAGCCUGAUGCAACAGCGCCGCGUGCGGGAUGACGGCCUUCGGGUUGUAAACCGCUUUCGCCUGUGACGAAGCGUGAGUGACGGUAAUGGAUAAAGAAGCAGCGGCUAACUACGUG
rnacentral:rRNA from 1 species